UCCUACGGGACGCAGCAGUGGGGGAUAUUGCACAAUGGGGGAAACCCUGAUGCAGCGACGCCGCGUGGAGGAGGAAGGUCUUCGGAUUGUAAACUCCUGUCCGAGGGGACGAUAAUGACGGUACCCUUGGAGGAAGCACCGGCUAACUACGUGCCAGCAGCCGCGGUAAAACGUAGGGUGCAAGCGUUGUCCGGAAUUACUGGGUGUAAAGGGAGCGUAGGCGGGCGAGAAAGUUGAAUGUUAAAUCUACCGGCUUAACUGGUAGCUGCGUUCAAAACUUCUUGUCUUGAGUGAAGUAGAGGCAG
rnacentral:rRNA from 1 species